ACUCCGGGAAACCGGGGCUAAUACCGAAUAAUCUAUUUCACUUCAUGGUGAAAUACUGAAAGACGGCAUCUCGCUGUCGCUAUAAGAUGGGCCCGCGGCGCAUUAGCUAGUUGGUGAGGUAACGGCUCACCAAGGCGACGAUGCGUAGCCGACCUGAGAGGGUGAUCGGCCACACUGGGACUGAGACACGGCCCAGACUCCUACGGGAGGCAGCAGUAGGGAAUCUUCCACAAUGGGCGAAAGCCUGAUGGAGCAACGCCGCGUGAGUGAAGAAGGUUUUCGGAUCGUAAAACUCUGUUGUAAGGGAAGAACAAGUACAGUAGUAACUGGCUGUACCUUGACGGUACCUUAUUAGAAAGCCACGGCUAACUACGUGCCAGCAGCCGCGGUAAUACGUAGGUGGCAAGCGUUGUCCGGAAUUAUUGGGCGUAAAGCGCGCGCAGGCGGUCCUUUAAGUCUGAUGUGAAAGCCCACGGCUCAACCGUGGAGGGUCAUUGGAAACUGGGGGACUUGAGUGCAGAAGAGGAAAGUGGAAUUCCAAGUGUAGCGGUGAAAUGCGUAGAGAUUUGGAGGAACACCAGUGGCGAAGGCGACUUUCUGGUCUGUAACUGACGCUGAGGCGCGAAAGCGUGGGGAGCAA
rnacentral:rRNA from 1 species